UGCCAGCCGCCGCGGUAAUACGGAGGGUGCAAGCGUUACUCGGAAUCACUGGGCGUAAAGAGAAUGUAGGCGGGUAGAUAAGUUUGAAGUGAAAUCCAAUGGCUCAACCAUUGAACUGCUUUGAAAACUGUUUACCUAGAAUAUGGGAGAGGUAGAUGGAAUUUCUGGUGUAGGGGUAAAAUCCGUAGAGAUCAGAAGGAAUACCGAUUGCGAAGGCGAUCUACUGGAACAUUAUUGACGCUGAGAUUCGAAAGCGUGGGGAGCAAACAGGAUUAGAUA
rnacentral:rRNA from 1 species